rnacentral:rRNA from 1 species
GACGAACGCUGGCGGCGUGCUUAACACAUGCAAGUCGAACGGAAAGGCCCUGCUUUUGUGGGGUUCUCGAUUGGCGAACGGGUGAGUAACACGUGAGUAACCUGCCCUUGACUUUGGGAUAACUUCAGGAAACUGGGGCUAAUACCGGAUAGGAGCUCCUGCUGCAUGGUGGGGGUUGGAAAGUUUCGGCGGUUGGGGAUGGACUCGCGGCUUAUCAGCUUGUUGGUGGGGUAGUGGCUUACCAAGGCUUUGACGGGUAGCCGGCCUGGGAGGGUGACCGGCGACAUUGGGACUGGGAUAGGGCGCAGACUGCUACGGGCGGCAGCAGUGGGGAAUAUUGCACAAUGGGCGGGAGCCUGAUGCAGCGGCGCCGCGUGCGGGAUGACGGCCUUCGGGUUGUGAACCGCUUUGGACUGUGACGAAGAGUGAGUGACGGUAAUGGGUAAAGAAGCACCGGCUAACUACGUG